GGUUAAAUAAAGGUGUUCUCAACUGGCCUACCUGGUUAAAUAAAGGUGUUCUCAACUAGCCUACCUGGUUAAAUAAAGGUGUUCUCAACUGGACUACCUGGUUAAAUAAAGGUGUUCUCAACUAGCCUACCUGGUAAAAUAAAGGUGUUCUCAACUGGCCUACCUGGUUAAAUAAAGGUGUUCUCAACUGGCCUACCUGGUUAAAUAAAGGUGUUCUCAACUAGCCUACCUGGUUAAAUAAAGGUGUUCUCAACUGGCCUACCUGGUUAAAUAAAGGUGUUCUCAACUGGCCUACCUGGUUAAAUAAAGGUGUUCUCAACUAGCCUACCUGGUUAAAUAAAGGUGUUCUCAACUGGCCUACCUGGUUAAAUAAAGGUGUUCUCAACUGGACUACCUGGUUAAAUAAAGGUGUUCUCAACUAGCCUACCUGGUUAAAUAAAGGUGUUCUCAACUGGCCUACCUGGUUAAAUAAAGGUGUUCUCAACUGGCCUACCUGGUUAAAUAAAGGUGUUCUCAACUAGCCUACCUGGUUAAAUAAAGGUGUUCUCAACUGGCCUACCUGGUUAAAUAAAGGUGUUCUCAACUGGACUACCUGGUUAAAUAAAGGUGUUCUCAACUAGCCUACCUGGUUAAAUAAAGGUGUUCUCAACUGGCCUACCUGGUUAAAUAAAGGUGUUCUCAACUAGCCUCCCUGGUUAAAUAAAGGUGUUCUCAACUAGCCUACCCUGGUUAAAUAAAGGUGUUCUCAACUAGCCUACCCUGGUUAAAUAAAGGUGUUCUCAACUGGCCUACCUGGUUAAAUAAAGGUGUUCUCAACUAGCCUCCCUGGUUAAAUAAAGGUGUUCUCAACUAGCCUACCUGGUUAAAUAAAGGUGUUCUCAACUGGCCUACCUGGUUAAAUAAAGGUGUUCUCAACUGGCCUACCUGGUUAAAUAAAGGUGUUCUCAACUGGCCUACCUGGUU